rnacentral:rRNA from 1 species
UACGAAGGGGGCUAGCGUUGUUCGGAUUUACUGGGCGUAAAGCGCGUGUAGGCGGGUCGUUAAGUUGGGGGUGAAAUCCCGAGGCUCAACCUCGGAACUGCCUUCAAAACUGGCGGCCUGGAGCAAAGAAGAGGCGAGUGGAAUUCCCGGUGUAGAGGUGAAAUUCGUAGAUAUCGGGAGGAACACCGGUGGCGAAGGCGGCGACCUGGGUCGAGACUGACGCUGAGGCGCGAAAGCGUGGGGAGCAAACAGG